UGCUCUUCGACAGAGCGCAUGCUCGUUGACCACCUGUCGUUCGGAGAAACAAUUCUUCACCAAUAUAUCCUGCAUGGGCUUCUACAUUUGUGCAUGGGUGGGAAAAGUAAAAGGCAUUCUCGAAUAUUCAUUCUGCGACAACUGGAGGACCUCUAGAGAAGGACAUGCCUGGAGCGCAUUCUUGUGUUCUGCUGCUUGGAAUGCUGGCAAGCUUUUGUGCGCAAAGCGAGCAGUCGGGCGGUUGGACCAACCUCAAGCAUCCAGAUAAGCCAAGACUCCGCGCCCGAGCGGAGUACGCCUACCGCGAGCACUAUCACUGUAUGUGUGCCUUGGAGAUACAUGUGACAUUGGCUAAAAAGCAGAUAGUUUCUGCUAUAAGAUACUUCCUGCUGUUCACUGCAAAAUGUCACCAUGGUAAAAUGGAGAAGUGUGUUGCCCUUGUCCGGAUUCCGCCGGUCAUAAAACUGCAAAAACGAGAAGUUUCCAAGUUUCGAUGCUUCUGAAUAUUGGAGAGGAUGGUCCGGACGAAAAAUUCAUUCAUGCUUAUGAAGCCGACAAAUAUUGCCUUCGUGUUAAAAUAUAUAUGGCCUGCAUUUUCCACUCGCAUGCAUUAUAUGCAUCGCUUAUGGGAUAGCGAAAAUCGAAUACCGAGUCAUAUCAAGGGCACAAAACAUAAAUAUGGAAUAUCUGUUAUAAACCUA